GUCUGUUAAGGCUAUAUGGGGGAUCUUUGUUGCUUUGUGUGUACAGGUGAGUCUACCGACAGGUGUACACGUGCUCCGUGCGCCUGCACUGGCGACAGCGCACUGCACAGCACCAGCGGUGUGUGUACAGGUGUGUGUGUGUACAGGUGUGUGUACAGGUGUGUACAGGUGAGUCUCUACCGACAGGUGUACACGUGCUCCGUACGCCUGCACUGGCGACAUCGCACUGCACAGCACCAGCGGUUUGUGUGUACAGGUGUGUGUGUACAG